UAUGUUUGUUUGUUUCUGAAGGACUUUGCAAACACCAUUCCUGGACAUGGCGGGAUAAUGGACCGAUUUGAUUGUCAGUAUCUGAUGGCAACGUUUGUGCAUGUCUACAUCACAAGUUUUAUAAGGGGUCCAAAUCCCAGCAAAGUGUUACAGCAGUUGUUGGUGCUUCAACCAGAACAGCAGUUAAACAUAUAUAAAACCCUGAAGACGCAUCUCAUUGAGAAAGGAAUCCUACAGCCUACCUUGAAGGUAUAACUGCUUCCAGAGAGUAAAGGACUGACCUGACAAUAAGGAAUUCUACAGAAGAGCACUGACAGAUGAAAUUUUGUAAAUGUACAGAAAAGUGGUUGAAAAUGCAAUAGAUGAAAGAUUUACAGACAUGAAUGUUUCUUCUCUGAAAUUACUGUGAAUAUUUAACACUUACUUGAUCUACGUUGUGAAAUAAGUAGCAAAUUAUCUUCAAAAUAUCCUGUACUUUUUCUAAAGUGUAUUUUCUGAUGUCAACUUCCUUCCCCUUACUUGCCAUUUUCAUAAUUUAAAAGACUUGGUUUUAGAGUCCAACACUGUAAAAUGAGUAAAUUGAGGAUGUCUUAAGAUUGCACCUGGCAUUGUGCCCUUUGCACCAAUAUUUACUUUUGCACUUGGAGUGGCUCUUAAUUUUAACAAAAUGUUUUAUGGAAGGCACAGUAGGAAGUUAGUUCUCCUGCACUUCCUUCUCUUUUAGUCUGAAGUAUUUUCGGAGGGACUGAGUUGGGUCCUUCCCCCAUCCUCCACCCCCUAAAAAUAAGUAAGUAUAAUCAUUUGCCAGGAAAAAACAUUCCACUUUUAGGUAGGUUUGAAAUUCAAGCGAGGGAAGCUGAAAUUUCUACCAUUAUUGGCUUGCUAGAAAGAACAGACAUCAAACUCUACUUCUGAUAUAGCUGUCAGGAAAAAUAUAAUGUCGCAAAAACUUUUAAAAGAAGCAAAAGAGAAUUUUGCUGUGCAAAUGUAAUGUAGGCACCGUCCACAGAUUAUCUCCACAGAUGGCUCAGGAGACAGCAUAAGACGAUGACAUGUGACACAGGCCACCUCGUGGUCAAGUUCCCUGCUUUUCCUUGUUUCCCUGUGAACUGGUUUCUAUAAGUUCUAUAGCCAUGAGCACAAAGAUCAAUAUAUAGGGUAGUGAGUAGGGGUGGUGGCUGAAGCAGAGAGGGGGGUGCUCGGCUGAGCACACGUGACCCAUCUCAGGAUGAGGCUCUGCACGCUCUGCCCUGGGUGCCUCCCUCCUGUUCCCUGUGGGGACACUCAGCUGGCAGGAAGGAAGAUCUGCCUGGAGACCCAACCUAGACUAACUCCAUGGGAACAGCUCAUCUUUGUCCCAUUCCUCUUUCACAUCAUGUCAAAACGUGAGGACAUCAGCUGAUAUUUUUUUUCCAAGUAUGGAAAUCAAGCAGAAGUGAUUCCCGUCCAGAACAAAAAGCACACGAAUGCCAAACCUUUCCUCUGGUCGACUGGACACUGUAACCAGAUAAAUGUCUUAUCAGUGAAUGUACAGAAGCUACUGUUGCUGCGUGCUCUCAACAACCAUAUUUAUUGUAUUGAAGAGUCAGCAAUAAACCUUUGGAGGUUGCCUAUUGCUCCUUGCCUAAAUGUUCAGAGGGGAGAAAUAGAUAUAUUUUAAAGAAUGUUUUGCUAAUGAAAAGAGUAAAUAUUUUUGUUUAAAUCAGAAACAAAUUUCAAUUAUUUUAUAUUUCUGUUCUACUAUACCUACAAUAAAAGAUUGUAGAUAUG